rnacentral:rRNA from 1 species
UACGUAGGGUGCGAGCGUUGUCCGGAAUUAUUGGGCGUAAAGAGCUCGUAGGCGGCCUGUCGCGUCGGAUGUGAAAGCCCGGGGCUUAACCCCGGGUCUGCAUUCGAUACGGGCAGGCUAGAGUGUGGUAGGGGAGAUCGGAAUUCCUGGUGUAGCGGUGAAAUGCGCAGAUAUCAGGAGGAACACCGAUGGCGAAGGCAGGUCUCUGGGCCACUACUGACGCUGAGAAGCGAAAGCAUGGGGAGCGAACAGG